AGUCGAGCGAGGUUACUGUUUCGGAUCCCUUCGGGGUGAAGAAGCUUUAACCUAGCGGCGGACGGGUGAGUAACGCGUGGGUAACCUACCCCAAAGUCCGGGAUAACAGCGGGAAACCGCUGCUAAUACCGGAUGCCUUUACCUUGGGGCAUCUUGAGGUAAAGAAAGGUAACGCUUUGGGAUGGGCCCGCGUCCCAUUAGCUAGUUGGUGAGGUAACGGCUCACCAAGGCGACGAUGGGUAGCCGGCCUGAGAGGGUGGACGGCCACACUGGGACUGAGACACGGCCCAGACUCCUACGGGAGGCAGCAGUAGGGAAUAUUGCGCAAUGGACGGAAGUCUGACGCAGCGACGCCGCGUGAGCGAUGAAGGUCUUCGGAUCGUAAAGCUCUGUCCUUGGGGAAGAAGGCGAAAGCUUGACGGUACCCAAGAAGAAAGCCCCGGCUAACUACGUGCCAGCAGCCGCGGUAAUACGUAGGGGGCGAGCGUUGUCCGGAAUUACUGGGCGUAAAGGGUGCGUAGGCGGCCCUUUAAGUCGGAUGUGAAAGCCCGCGGCUUAACCGCGGAAUGGCAUUC
rnacentral:rRNA from 1 species